AGCGAACGCUGGCGGCAGGCCUAACACAUGCAAGUCGAACGGAUCCUUCGGGAUUAGUGGCGGACGGGUGAGUAACACGUGGGAACGUGCCCUUUGGUUCGGAACAACUCAGGGAAACUUGAGCUAAUACCGGAUGUGCCCUUCGGGGGAAAGAUUUAUCGCCAUUGGAGCGGCCCGCGUCUGAUUAGCUAGUUGGUGAGGUAACGGCCCACCAAGGCGACGAUCAGUAGCUGGUCUGAGAGGAUGAUCAGCCACACUGGGACUGAGACACGGCCCAGACUCCUACGGGAGGCAGCAGUGGGGAAUCUUGCGCAAUGGGCGAAAGCCUGACGCAGCCAUGCCGCGUGAAUGAUGAAGGUCUUAGGAUUGUAAAAUUCUUACAGCGGGGACGAUAAUGACGGUACCCGCAGAAGAAGCUCCGGCUAACUUCGUG
rnacentral:rRNA from 1 species